UGCUACUAUGCAAGUCGAGCGGAAGGCCCUUCGGGGUACUCGAGCGGCGAACGGGUGAGUAACACGUGAGCAACCUGCCCCUGACUCUGGGAUAAGCCCGGGAAACUGGGUCUAAUACCGGAUACGACCGCCCCCGGCAUCGGGUGGUGGUGGAAAGUCUUUUCGGUUGGGGAUGGGCUCGCGGCCUAUCAGCUUGUUGGUGGGGUAGUGGCCUACCAAGGCGACGACGGGUAGCCGGCCUGAGAGGGCGACCGGCCACACUGGGACUGAGACACGGCCCAGACUCCUACGGGAGGCAGCAGUGGGGAAUAUUGCGCAAUGGGCGGAAGCCUGACGCAGCGACGCCGCGUGGGGGAUGACGGCCUUCGGGUUGUAAACCUCUUUCAGCAGGGACGAAGUUGACGUGUACCUGCAGAAGAAGCGCCGGCUAACUACGUGCCAGCAGCCGCGGUAAUACGUAGGGCGCAAGCGUUGUCCGGAAUUAUUGGGCGUAAAGAGCUCGUAGGUGGCUUGUCGCGUCUGCCGUGAAAGCUCGCAGCUUAACUGCGGGUCUGCGGUGGAUACGGGCUGGCUAGAGGUAGGUAGGGGAGAACGGAAUUCCUGGUGUAGCGGUGAAAUGCGCAGAUAUCAGGAGGAACACCGGUGGCGAAGGCGGUUCUCUGGGCCUUACCUGAC
rnacentral:rRNA from 1 species